CUGUGCCACCAGGGAAGCCCCCGCAAGGUGUUUUUGACAUCUAGUUCCCCUCUCCUGACCUCACAUUUCCUGGUGUUUACUUAUUUUAUGGUAAGAAUUGGAUGGUAUAUAGCCUACCACUUUGUACAGCAGACUUGCUUAAGACCAUUUUCUUAGAAUUCCAGGUGUCUUUCAGCCAAGGCAUUUUGGCGUGAUAACUUUGGAAUCCAAUCUAGGUUCCUAGCAUGGUGACUGAAACAAGUUUCAAUUAAGUGAUGAAUAUUUACAUGGUAUGCUUAGAGCAGUGACCUAAUGUAAACAUUAUAGGAAGCAAUCAGUCAGUGUUAUCUACUACUAGCUGAUUAAAUUAUGCUGAGCUGCACUUCCUCAUGAAAUGGGUUUGCCACUACCUAUUUCACACAGCAUUCUGAGAAUGAAGUCAGACACGACACUACCUGGGAAUUAGAAGGUCUUAGUUUCCUUCCAUUGCUCCCCUUUGCCCUUCUAGCGCUGUUGCAUGGUCACAUGUCUAACGAGUCUCCAGCAGCUAACAAUAAGUAAGAAACUGUUCAGAUGGGAACAAGCUGGCUUUCAGGAGACUCUGAAGCCGGCAGCGUGGCAGGCAGCAAGGAGCACACACCCACCAGCGGCUGGUCAACCUGACAACUCCGGCAACACAAACAUAACAAGACAAGAUAGACAAAGUGGAGGCCCAGUCCAGAUGCUGAAUGUCAGACAGCUUUUAUGUGUGGGGCAGGGCGAGGGAGUACAGUAGAAGAAAUACAAACAUUCAACAGACGAGCAAAUUAAACUGGCAGAAUGAAACAGGAAACCACAAUAAAUGCUUAGCAGCCAAACACAUUUAUUAGUCUUUUUUCUUUUUUUUUUUUUUCCAGGAACCCAAAAAUAUUUUGUAGUUAUAAUGUAAGCAACUGAGUUGCACAUAAUACAAUCAUAUCUUUCCAAAAUAAAAUAAAAUAAAAAACUAAACAAAAACAAAAAUAAGCUGCUUAAAAGCCCAAAAAAACCCUUCAGAAAACUCAUAUAUGCAUUACAUCAUCUCUCAGUUUUAAUGAAAUGACGACGACUUAAUUCCUUAUUACUCAACCUGUCACAUCCAAUAAAAGACCACCCUUUAGUUUUUUUUGUUUUUGACUUUUUUUUUUGAAAUCCAGCAUGAGAAAUACAGUACCUGCUAUGGCAAAAAAUACACAUAAAAUGCAACUUUUCAGCUUAUUUGUACAUUAGUAGAGUUUAACAUUUUAUUGUUUUUUAAGUGAACCAGUGAUUUUAAGUACCACUAUACUAAAAAAGUAAAAUAAAAUAUAGAAAAGGGGGGCCCAGCCUGCCAUGCAAGUGCACCUCUAAAGUGCCUAGUUUCUGUGUCCAUGUAAAACCAGUCAUAUGAGGAGCAAUUUCAACAUAUGGGAGUUUGAUUAAACCUCUAUGUUUAAGAGAGAAAAAAAAAAAA